rnacentral:rRNA from 1 species
GUAUCAAUAGGCGGAGGAAAAGAAACUAACAAGGAUUCCCCUAGUAACUGCGAGUGAAGAGGGAAAAGCUCAAAUUUAAAAUCUGGCAGUUUCACUGUCCGAGUUGUAAUUUAGAGAAGUGUUGCCCGUGCUGGACCGUGUAUAAGUCUCCUGGAAUGGUGCGUCAUAGAGGGUGAGAAUCCCGUCUUUGACACGGACUCCCAGUGCAUUGUGGUACGCUCUCAAAGAGUCGUGUUGUUUGGGAAUGCAGCACUAAAUGGGUGGUAAAUUCCAUCUAAAGCUAAAUAUUGGCGAGAGACCGAUAGCGCACAAAUA